rnacentral:rRNA from 1 species
UCGGGAAUUUUGGGCAAUGGGCGAAAGCCUGACCCAGCAACGCCGCGUGAAGGAUGAAGUAUUUCGGUAUGUAAACUUCGAAAGAAUAGGAAGAAUAAAUGACGGUACUAUUUAUAAGGUCCGGCUAACUACGUGCCAGCAGCCGCGGUAAUACGUAGGGACCAAGCGUUGUUCGGAUUUACUGGGCGUAAAGGGCGCGUAGGCGGCAAUUCAAGUCAUCUGUGAAAUCUCCGGGCUUAACUCGGAACGGUCAGAUGAUACUGCUUUGCUAGAGUGCAGAAGGGGCAAUCGGAAUUCUUGGUGUAGCGGUGAAAUGCGUAGAUAUCAAGAGGAACACCUGAGGUGAAGACGGGUUGCUGGGCUGACACUGACGCUGAGGCGCGAAAGCCAGGGGGGCAAACGGGAUUAGAUACCCUUGUAGUCCCUGAGCGGGCUGGCAAGGCGCAU